rnacentral:rRNA from 1 species
GAACCAACAGGGAUUGCCCCAGUAACGGCGAGUGAAGCGGCAACAGCUCAAAUUUGAAAUCUGGCCCUUGUCGGGGUCCGAGUUGUAAUUUGUAGAGGGUGCUUUGGCGUCGGCUGCGGUCCAAGUUCCUUGGAACAGGACGUCACAGAGGGUGAGAAUCCCGUACGUGGCUGCGUGCCUUCGCCGUGUAAAGCCCCUUCAACAAGUCGAGUUGUUUGGGAAUGCAGCUCUAAAUGGGAGGUAAAUUUCUUCUAAAGCUAAAUACCGGCCAAAGACCGAUAGCGCACAAGUAGAGGGAUCGAAAGAUGAAAAGCACUUUGGAAAGAAAGUCAAAAAGCACGUGAAAUUGUUGAAAGGGAAGCGCUUGCAGCCAGACGUGCCCGCGGUUGCUCAUCCGGAUCACUGUCCGGUGCACUCUCCCGCGGGCAGGCCAGCAUCGGUUUGGGCGGUUGGAUAAAGGCUCCGGGAAUGUAGCUCCCCCCGGGGAGUGUUAUAGCCCGGUGCGCAAUGCAGCCAGCCCGGACCGAGGCCCGCGCGCAUGCUAGGAUGCUGGCGUAAUGGUUGUAAGCGGCCCGUCUUGAAACACGGACCAAGGAGUCUAACAUCUAUGCGAGUGUUUGGGUGUCAAGCCCGGGCGCGCAAUGAAAGUGAACGGAGGUGGGAACCCCCUCGAGGGCGCACCAUCGACCGAUCCUGAUGUCUUCAGAUGGAUUUGAGU